GCCAGUGUGGCAUAGUGGUUAGAGUUUGGGACUACAACUCUGGAGACCAGAGUUCAAUUCCCCCUUUGGCC